rnacentral:rRNA from 1 species
UACGAAGGGGGCUAGCGUUGCUCGGAUUGACUGGGCGUAAAGGGCGCGUAGGCGGUUCGUACAGUCAGACGUGAAAUUCCUGGGCUCAACCUGGGGGCUGCGUUUGAUACGUGCGGACUUGAGUGCGGAAGAGGGUCGUGGAAUUCCUGGUGUAGCGGUGAAAUGCGCAGAUAUCAGGAGGAACACCAAUGGCGAAGGCAGCUCGCUGGGACGGUACUGACGCUGAGACGCGAAAGCGUGGGGAGCAAACAGG